AAGAAGUAUAUUCCUAGUUACAUCUUCAGAAAAAUGGUGAGUAAUUCAAGUUACUUUCACUAGGCAUGUUGAUUGAUGAUGUGUUAUUUUUUAUUUAAAUUUCAAAAUAGAAUAGGAAUAGGAGUCCAACUACUCUGUUUCAUCAAAAACAGAAUGUGAUAAUCUUGUAGAAUAUCUGGAGUCCUACAAGUUUAAGAAUCUCAAACUGAAUAUAGUUUUUGAGGGCAGGUUGGCUGUUGGUACUACUAUGGAAGAGGUGUAUUCCUGGUGACAUGGUAGAUAUUUCGACUUAAAUUUUUAUAUGCUUGUACCAUGAAGUACCCUGGUGAACACAAUAUCCAAUGGGAUAACCUAUACUUCAAAAUAGUGGCAAAGCUUGUGUAUCAUAUAGAUCUGUUAUCCAGAAAUGCCUGCACUCAGAUGCUAAUUCUGGAAGCCAUGUUUUCAUAUUGUACACCUGUCCAUAUGAAUCUGUUAUCCAUAUACCUGUACCGCAAGCUCAUCUUGGAGUCCAUAUAUCCAUGUUAUAGAUCUUGCAUAUAUUCUGCCUCCACCCCAGAUGGCUUUGUUACUGCCGUUGUUAUUAUCAUUGGUUAUUAUUAGUGUAUUUCUUAUUCUCUAUGUUGAACUACUGCUUGUUUAUGUCCACUUAUGCUUCCCAUAAUAUUCCCUAACAUGGCCCUUUUCUCCUCUAUUCUCUCCUUCAUUUGGCCUGCAUAAUGAACUUCUCAUUGAAAUAUAUAAAAAUCACCUACUAAAAAACAAAUAAAUGAUUUUUUUUUCUUAUUCCAUUUAUCCCUUUUUUUGGAUCAUUAUACAUUAAAGCUGACUUUGUUUCUCUGUGCCUUCAUCUUUAGGGGAGGAGAUAAUCUCUGGAGCUCAACGUGUCCACGUACCCGAAUUCUUGGCAACACGUGCAGAAGCCUGUGGAAUUGAUGUCAAAACUAUAUCAACAUAUAUUGAUUCUUUUGGGUAUGGUGCACCUCUGCAUGGUGGAUUUGGUGUGGGAUUGGAGCGUGUGGUGAUGCUCUUUUGUGCCCUAAACAACAUCCGCAAAACAUCACUCUUCCCUCGUGACCCUCUCAGGAUUGCUCCAUGACAUUUUAUUCUAGUAGCGUGUUCUGCCUGACUCUUUUUUGUCACCAAGAUUGUUUCCUCUGGAUGUUAUUUUGUUGGAAAUGUCUUACCAGAUAAAAUUUACUAGUUUUUCACUGGAAAAAGUAACAUUUACAUACAUCCCAAAAUUGUUCAUCUUCAUUAUUAUAUACGCAUGUUGUCCAAUUGCAUUGCAUGUGGUCAUUUGUUGUGCUGUGCAGUUUUUUCUGUUUCUAUUUUCCUCAUUGAUUUACACCUAAGAAGUUAUGUCAUGCUCAUAUCAAAAUAAAACCUAAAAAAAUGUUAUUAGGUCCUGAACUAGGCUACUUGUAUCAAUUACGUUGUCCCUCAAGUGCAUAAUUUCCUAAUUCUUUGAACAAGAACUUCCUACUUUAGUUAUUUAUUUUCUUCAAUUGUUAAAUGAAACUUUGUGACAAAUGAUGGUAUCAAUAUUACCAUCAUUUUUACUGCAUUCGUCCCAUAUUAAUAGUCGCUUUUGAAAAUUUUAAACUUUUUAAAGAAAUAUAACCAUUACAUUUUGAAUUCAAAAUUUAAAGGGUUAAUUUCAAAAAUAUCUUUCUAUUCUUAUUGUUAAAUAUAUUUAUAAUGCAAUUGAAGGCCUUGUCAUGAUUAUGGCAUCGAUAAAUGCCAAAUUCCUUAAUUGCAUUACUCAAAACUUCCAGCGUCUAGCAGGUAGCUGAGAAUCUUUACCGUUGGUUUUGAAUUUGGAUCGCAUUUAGAUUUGCUUGGGUUAUAUUUUGAUUCAGAGUAAUUAAUGUCAGUUUCAGUGGGCAGAUAUUCAUUGUGAAACAGAGUUGAGGUUUCAUCAAUUGUGAAGACUAUGGAUAGAGUUUACAAUUUUGUUAGUGCCUCAGAGAAUCAUUGUUUGGCUACAGUUGGCUUCAAGCGGAUGCUUAAUCAGCGUGGCAAAUUUGGGCAAAGGGUUUAUCAAAAGCAGCCGAUUUGUCCAUACAAAAGUUAAAUAUUUUACUCCAACCUAUAUGCCUUUUUAAAAUUCAUUAUAUUUUGAAGAAUUCCUCCCUAAAUCCAUCACAAUGUACUUCAAAUUUCACACGAGAGAGAGGGAAUACUUGAAAUUUCUUGCAGAAAAAUAGUAUAUUCAAAACUUUAUAUCUGCCUCAAGAUUUCUUUCAUGACUUCUUUGAGAUAUUUAUAUUUUUUUUCCGGAUCAAGGGCUAGAGGGAGUUUGAACGCCAAAAGAAUUCUCUUUGUUGAUGUAAACAUAAGUUUCUUCGCAGUUUGGGUUUUGGUAAUGGCCUCAAAUCGGGGUAAACAUAUUCAGUAUUUUGGUUUCA